rnacentral:lncRNA from 1 species
CUACAGGUGGGGAAGUAUAACGGCAGAAGAAAUUAUACAUAAUCAAAGAUUAGAUUUUCAAUAUAAAUUCAACGAAAAUUGAAUCGGGUUUCCUUACCUUAUGACAGAGAAAGGAAAAUCCACAACAGCCCACCAGAAUAAACAGCUCAAGUUACCACUUCUCUCUAAAUACUGUUCAAUAACAAAAUGAAAUAAAAUUAUUAUAACCCUAAAACAAACCGAAUCAAUCUUUCGCAUAUUCAAGAAUUAAUUUACAAUAAUAACCGAAUUACCAAGAUUAAUUUUUAAGUAAAAUAAAAACCCUAAAAAUUCAAUCUUUGGAGAAAGCUAACAUGAUUACAUUUGAUCUAAUGACGGAACAUAUUAAAAGUAGAAAAUAAGAAACAAUUUGAAUUGAGGCAAAUAUCUGCAGACGCCAAAUUACUUGUCAAAUAGAAUUAACAAUAAAAUUAAAAUUAAAAUUAAAAUAAAAAUAAAAAUCAACAGAUCAAAGAAUCGUUCCGAAAUUCAUACCUGCGAAAAAAGAUCUAAAGCUGCGCUUCUUGUUCGGUGGUAGCCUGAGAAUUUGGGGGCGGGGGCUGUUAUUUAGUACAAAUAUUUUGUUCGCCUUCUCUAGAAACUUCUACUGGUUGGGUGAGCUGCUUAUUAUAGAGGAUUGUUAUUAAAUAUUUGGAAAGAAAUAAAUUAGCUAAAAACCCUAAUCCUAA